AGUGAACGCUGGCGGCAGGCCUAAUACAUGCAAGUCGAACGGCAGCACAGCAGAGCUUGCUCUGUGGGUGGCGAGUGGCGGACGGGUGAGGAAUACAUGGGAAUCUGCCCAGUCGUGGGGGAUAACGUAUGGAAACGUACGCUAAUACCGCAUGCGCCCUACGGGGGAAAGUCGGGGACCGCAAGGCCUGGCGCGAUUGGAUGAGCCCAUGUUCGAUUAGCUAGUUGGCGGGGUAAAGGCCCACCAAGGCGACGAUCGAUAGCUGGUCUGAGAGGAUGAUCAGCCACACUGGAACUGAGACACGGUCCAGACUCCUACGGGAGGCAGCAGUAGGGAAUAUUGGACAAUGGGGGCAACCCUGAUCCAGCCAUGCCGCGUGAGUGAAGAAGGCCCUCGGGUUGUAAAGCUCUUUUGUCCGGAAAGAAAGCAAUCGGUUAAUACCCGGUUGUUCUGACGGUACCGGAAGAAUAAGCACCGGCUAACUUCGUGCCAGC
rnacentral:rRNA from 1 species